GAUGAACGCUAGCGGGAGGCCUAACACAUGCAAGCCGAGCGGUAUUUGUUCUUCGGAACAGAGAGAGCGGCGCACGGGUGCGGAACACGUGUGCAACCUGCCUUUAUCUGGGGGAUAGCCUUUCGAAAGGAAGAUUAAUACCCCAUAAUAUAUUGAGUGGCAUCAUUUGAUAUUGAAAACUCCGGUGGAUAGAGAUGGGCACGCGCAAGAUUAGAUAGUUGGUGAGGUAACGGCUCACCAAGUCAAUGAUCUUUAGGGGGCCUGAGAGGGUGAUCCCCCACACUGGUACUGAGACACGGACCAGACUCCUACGGGAGGCAGCAGUGAGGAAUAUUGAACAAUGGGUUAGCGCCUGAUCCAGCCAUCCCGCGUGAAGGACGACGGCCCUAUGGGUGGUAAACUUCUUUUGUAUAGGGAUAAACCUACUCUCGUGAGAGUAGCUGAAGGUACUAUACGAAUAAGCACCGGCUAACUCCGUG
rnacentral:rRNA from 1 species